ensembl:lncRNA
UUCAUAAGCUUGGUCCAAAGAAAGGCCAGCUUCUUUAUGCAUGUGUAUACUUUGUAAACUUGGUCCAAAGAAAGGCCACUCUAUUAUUUAAAUUCUACUAUUUAUUCUACUGUUUUCUUUAAUGUGGUAGAAAUUGUGCAUGCACGUACAUGUGUAUGUGCGCACAUGUGUAUACAAACAUAUCCCGCAGUGUGUAUUUAUAGAAAAUGCCUUUGAGAGCAGGGGCAGGGAAAAUAUGGCAAUCUGCACAGUGCAUGCUCUUGUCUGGCUUGUUUUAAGUCAGAUCCUCUGUGCUAUUGUAACACAGUUUUGUAUUUAAUUUCCUGUGUUUGUAACUCAAGCCAGCUUCCAGUGUUGCUUGUGUGAGUGUUUGUUUGGGUUUCUCUGAGGGCCUUUCUUUUGUUGGAAAGUGUGAGGAUUUUAACAUAGCUGUUAACACCGCACUAAAACGCCUGAUCUUGUUUUCACUGGGGCAACUGCUACAACACUCUUCUGUUGGCAGCGGCUGGCGCUGGUUCCUGCUUCCAGCCUCAGCGUGCUCCUGUCAGGGACGCCACAGGGCCCUGUGGAGGCUUUGAGCCCGCGCCACACCAGCUCCUGACCCACACGUCUUCAGGGCAGCAGCAAGCUGGGACAGAGCAGGUGCAUCUUCCUCCUGCAGAUCUGGAGUUUUUCUGGCCAUGUCCUGACACCAUUCGCUUACAGGGGAAGCUUCAUGGGGGAGUGUGAAGAGAGAGAUGCUACACCCACACAUAGGAUAGUGCUAAAAUGGUGGAGGGGAGCAUUUUGCCUCCUGCUGGUGUGGCUUUUCCAGGCUGUGAAAGGGGAAAGGUGCAACGAGGGCUUGCUGCCCUUGGAUCUGUGGCCUACUCUGUGUGUGGCACGCCCUCAGUCCUUGAUCUGCAACUUCCCCAAACACUCAGACAAGAGCAGAAGCAUUGAGCUUCGUUUAUUCACUCUUGGACUCAGUGACAUGGCAGUGACUUCCACAGACUUCAUACUAGUUACAUAAUGCAUCUAACAAAGGCAGUGCUUGGAUGCCAGCAUACCACUGGGCCAGCAAUGGAGUGGUGAAACUGGACUGCCACCAACAGCACCGAAGGGAGCAAAGCCGCCGCUGUCCCUCCUGAGAUAUGUGCACUCACUGCUGAUGUGCAGAUUCAGCCCCAAACUCCAGACCUUUUGCUAGACCAGCUGGGUCAGCAAGCACACCCUUCAUUUCCUCUCUGCUUUCCCUAGCAGCACUGACAUUUUCAAAGCAUCAAAGCUCUUUGUAAAAGAGCAUGGAGAACUCACUUCUCUUAAACAAGACCAGGUGUUUGCUGCCACUGCUGUUCUGCAGUAAAACUUGCACUGCCUAGACCAGAAAGAGGCCUGGUGGUUGUUUUGGUUCUUAAUCCACUAAACAUUGUAUCCCUCGAUUUAAAUGGACUGCAGCACCGUGUGUUCCCUGUUUUCCAUCACUUCUCCACUCAAUGGAGGAAAGGCUGACAUAUCCAACUCUUCAGAUACCCACGGCAACUUCAGCACACCCUGUCUCAAGGAUCCACAUUUGCAUCAGGAGCUGGUUUAUAACUUCCUGGAGCGCACACUGGAUACAAAACAUACCAUAUUGUCUUUGGUGAGGCCCUUGAAACAAACGAUCCUUUCCCUUCCUAGCACAAUACACAGAGUUUGGCAAAAGCAAUGAGUAUCACCCACAUUUGCCCCAUCUUGUGCAUGCUCCAGAAAAAUCCUUGAGGUAGUCUCAGGUGGUAGUUAGGAGGAUGUAUGUUCAGAACCAGUUUCCAGCUGUGCAUAGGUUGUCCUUUGAAUCACAGAGGCUUUCAGUUUAGCUGGUCCCACAGCUGCACAUGCUUAGAAGCAUGUUCUUCUCUUCCUGACUAAAUUUCCUAACCUUCCUGCAUGAGCCUGUGGGUUUACCCAGACCACACUCAUCACUGUGCCUUCCAGCGGUGGAACAUCAGUGCCUUCACUCUGCCGUCAGGAGUUUCCACUCCAAUUCCUAUGAAGGUGGAAAUUCUUCCUCUCAGCUUUGGCCAGGCAAACCUUAUCCCAGACUGACCACCUGUAAGAACAGCUAUUUCAGGAGAGCACUGCACUAUUAUGUCAGACCACACCUGACAGGGACAUGAAGCAGUCAAGGACAGCAAAUAAAGCUGUUUCCACAUAUCCUGGGCA